CUUUCACUAUUUAUGACGUUAACAAAUCACACUGCCACCGCAAGCAAUGGGUACAAAGAGAAAGCAUCAACACUUAGUAUUAAAGUAUACCCUUAAAUAAAAACACUGAAAAUCACUAUACAACUGCUAUAAAAUAACAUGGUCAACUCAUAAAACAAGAAUUUACACUCACUCAGCCUGUUCUUAUAAGAACAAUAAAACCCAAAAGCAAGCAGAAGGGGGGAAAAAAAAGGAAAACAAAGAGGAAAGUAGUAGGAGUGAAGCAAGGAAGAAGAUGCUAGAAAGGUAUGAGUAAGGAAGAGGGAGAGAAAGAGUAAUGAUGUACCUCUCUAAGAACUUUACACAGAGCCUUUUAUUGAAGCGGAUCUCGAAAAUGAAUCUGGGGUUCCAUGUUUAGUGAAAAUUAGAUAUGGUAUUGUGGACCAUGGCAAAAAAAUUGCCCAUCACCAUGUUGGCAUACAUCUUUGAUAUAACUACUGCUAAAAAGGCUCUCCUAGCCACUAGAGAAAUUUUGAACACUGGGCAUGAGAAAGGUGAACAGGUUUAUGGAGAAGUUGACCUAUGAGUUUUUUUAAUACCUUAGUCCAGAAGGUGCUCAC